CAGCUCUGGGCUGCAUGAUUAUGAGAGCUGAGCCUCAGCUCCCACUUUGCUGUCAUCGUCAGCAUUCAUAACCAGUGCUGAAAGGCGUUGGUGGUGAGAAUCAAGCCCUGGUGCAGCUCCAGGUGACUGCUGCCUUCCUUCCCCCAGAGCCUCGGCACACACUGCAUGAAUAUCACCAUGCAGGGGCUGCCAUCACUCUGCUGGAUAACCAGGUUUUCAUUUGAUUGGGAAAUACUUCUGCAAGGCAUUAUGGAAAAGUCUGCUGGGUUUUUGUCCUGCUCCCUCCCAGGCAGAAAAGCAGGCAUAGCUGGGGAAGAUGGAGUGGAUUUUGAUGGCACCAUACAGAAUCUGAGGAGGUCCAGGACUGUCCCUUCCAUGCUGAGACAUCUGCAGAGCUGGGACAUGAAGACCCCUGUGGGGUGUUGUGUAGGGAAAGAGUGGAGCAGGAUAAAGAUGACCAUGGAUGGAUGGAAAGAGUGGUCACCUAUGAGAGCAGCUUUGGUCUCCGUGCUGCAGGUACAUCAGCUCCUGGGAAAUGCUUACCUAUCAAUGCAGCUGUGCAGGAACUCCAGGCUUUCUGUGUGGUGGUGUCCCAAGGAGCAGAAGACAAGCUACCCACAGUUUGGGUGUAGGCAUGUAUGCUGUGUUUCUGACAUGGCUCAUAGGCUCCCAGAAAAUUGCUGUUUUCACUUCUGCAGUGUUUUGCCCAAAAUUUAG
rnacentral:lncRNA from 1 species